CCUACGGGAGGCUGCAGUGAGGAAUAUUGGUCAAUGGACGAGAGUCUGAACCAGCCAAGUAGCGUGAAGGAUGACUGCCCUAUGGGUUGUAAACUUCUUUUAUAAAGGAAUAAAACGAGGCACGUGUGCCUUUUUGCAUGUACUUUAUGAAUAAGGAUCGGCUAACUCCGUGCCAGCAGCCGCGGUAAUACGGAGGAUCCGAGCGUUAUCCGGAUUGAUUGGGUUUAAAGGGAGCGUAGAUGGGUUGUUAAGUCAGUUGUGAAAGUUUGCGGCUCAACCGUAAAAUUGCAAUUGAUACUGGCAGUCUUGAGUACAGUUGAGGUAGGCGGAAUUCGUGGUGUAGCGGUGAAAUGCUUAGAUAUCACGAAGAACCCCGAUUGCGAAGGCAGCUUACUAAACUGUGACUGACAUUGAUGCUCGAAAGUGUGGGUAUCAUACAGGAUUAGAGACCCCAGUAGUC
rnacentral:rRNA from 1 species